rnacentral:snoRNA from 1 species
UUAUAUGAUGAGCAAUUUCAUUAUUAGUUAUCCCUGUCAGAACAAUACUGUUGAUAACGUACAAACUCUGAAUU